GGCCUGCACAGCCUAUCGAAAACUCGUAUGCAAGACCGAAAUGCAGAAAGAAAAAGUUCCUCAAGGUCGCAUUUCGUUCAAAUGAUCACGCACUUGAAGGACAAUUACGGUCAAGAAGAGUGCCAGCCGGAACUCAGCGCCUCCCAGUAUAUACCAUGCCAGUCUAGCGCGGCAGCUUCUUGCACACCAGCAUGACACAGGGUCCAUAAUCCAGCAUGGCACUCGACACUUGGUAUGCAAUAGCGACUGGUUUGGCGCUUACAUCACCUCCGAUUCCUGAAGUGAGCUACGACAUUAGGGCGACAUAUUUUACUCCGACGACUUCGGUGCCUUGGGGUUUCCUCCACUUUCUUUCGUAAAAGCCCGAGAAGUAUUUGCCCAGCCCGAUCAAAACCGAAGAGAGCGACCACGAGGCGUCCGGUCAGGAGGAGAGGGAGGCGAGGGCGGCGCAUAAAUUUGAAUAUAACGGUCUCCCUGGAUGGUUGCAUCUCCGGGCUUGCUGCUGCGGCGGCGUUGACGAGAGAGGGCGAACGCAGUGCAGACGACGACGCUCGAGGAAGGAAGGCGACGUGAAACAAGGGGGAGGAACGAGACGCGAGCCGUCGGCUCCAGGAGCGGACGCCGCCGCCGCAACGGUCGCCCCUCCGGCGCGUUUUCGAAUUCAAGGACGCGAGAACGCACAUCGCGCCACGCCACGACCGUGGAGAGCGAGCGCGCCGUGGCUCGAUCACAUUGACAGCGCGACUCCUGUCGCCAUCUAUGAGCAGUAUUAGAAAACGUAAACGCGACCAGUUGCUGCGCGUCGGCUUUUCUGCAUUGCCGUUCGGAACUGUACAGAAACCGAACUCAAAAGGACAAGAGAAAUAAAUAAAUGAGGGACAGAGAAAGAAAGAAGGUAAGAAUGAAUGAAUGAAUGAAUGAAUGAAUGAAUGAAUGAAUGAAUGAAUGAAUGAAUGAAUGAAUGAAUGUUCUCGAUGAUCAAACGAAUGCUGUAGUUGGCAUGGGCCACAUGAUUUAAAUUGUGUCCGACAACUGCCGUGGCAGCUGCUUUAAUCGACAACCGAGUUCAUGCUCGUUGCCGAUUUACAGCUAAUAAAUAGCGUGCGAUGCUUUGUGGUUAGAGGCGUUGUCUUCUACGCCUAUCUGUCUGUGCAAUUUUUUGCAACAGUCCGGUUCGCGCUUCGUGGCCUGUCAAUCAGUUUGCUUCAAUAACCACUGAUGAAGAAAUUUCUUGCCCAAAUGAAUGAUGUCGUUGUAGAGCGAAAUAAAAGGAGGACUUAAGUGCAAAAUAUAAAGGUGGGACAAAACAUUUCAUGGAGGUGUUUCACCUUCGUAAACGCUUAUUAGUUCUAGACUUCUUAGCCUUGUCCAUCUUUGCAAGAUUGCCGUCCUUGAGGUGCGAUAGUACCGUUACUUGUAACAGACUUACCGUAAUUAUACCCUUCGUCGGAAAAGUUUGACGACUGAUUUUUUAUAAAAUUUUCUACGAUACUUAAACUCGGAAAAUAUGUGUUAUUACGUCGCUUUGUGUGCGCUUAGAGUAGCUUAGAAGCGUUGCCAUGUAAACUUACUAUGCGGCAGAACUUCAUUCAGUAAACCCCUGUUCGGCUUGUUGGCGCAUUUAGUGUUACGUCGCACAGGCGACGUGAUGGACUCACAUUUCGAGCAGAUAGUUCACAAUAAGGGGAAUCUUAAGCUCGGGGGCUCAAAUCUAAGUACAUGGGAACGGAGAAAUCGGUUUUCUCGGCAAAAACUGCAUCAAAUUUGAUUAGGUUUUUGGCAUUAAAGAAAAAGUAAACAGUAGCAACUUUUGGAAGUGGAAUAUUGAUUUAGGCUGUCAAUUAUGUUAUACAAAUUCUUAAAAAUUGCUAAAUUUCUAGGAAAAACGAAGCUAUCACUUUUGCAACAUUGUAACUGGGCAAUAAAAAUAAUAUUGCAUUA